rnacentral:rRNA from 1 species
UACGUAGGGUGCAAGCGUUGUCCGGAAUUAUUGGGCGUAAAGAGCUCGUAGGCGGCUUGUUACGUCGGCUGUGAAAACCCGCGGCUCAACCGUGGGCUUGCAGCUGAUACGGGCAGGCUAGAGUUCGGUAGGGGAGACUGGAAUUCCUGGUGUAGCGGUGAAAUGCGCAGAUAUCAGGAGGAACACCGGUGGCGAAGGCGGAUCUCUGGGCCGAUAUUGACGCUGAAGAGCGAAAGCGUGGGGAGCAAACAGG